rnacentral:lncRNA from 1 species
UUAGCAAAGCAAUUUUAUAGUCAAUAUUAUUGCAACAUAAAAUACAUGGCAGUCACUAACAAUUAUACAGCAAUUCACAAAAACUACACUAUUCAUUUCAAUUAACAAGUAGCACUUUAUAAAAAAUAUUUUCAGAGGAUGUUUACAUUCACUUUUUGUAAAUCAACUCAUAUUUGUGUUUCUGAAUGUAACACAAAAGGAAGGAAGGAAAUAACCAAUCUCUUUUGUGUAUUUACUAACUCUAAAUAUUAAACUCCAAAGCUGCCACAAGGUUCACAGAAAACAAAGACCUUAAUAGGAAAAUUACAAUGGUGCCAUUAAAUGAUUAGUCGGAAGGUGCCUCUAUUUCUAAUAGCUAAUAACCAAAUGGCACAGGUCCUAAAGUUUUGGGGUUUGUUUGUUUGUUUCCAGCUAUGUAGGGAUAGCUCAGCCUUAGCUCAUGACCUGAGCAAUCUCAGAAUUGCAGGUGGCUAUAACACAGGGGUAGAUUUCUUCUAAGAAAAACUAAAGAGUAGGAAGAAAGAGGGUGAAUAAGUCCAUGGGGUAUACAGAUCUCAACAUGGAUAACCAUGUCAGUUGCCCUUCAGAUUCCCUACACAGACUGGUAUGUCUACCUUCUAUGGAACAUAGACGCAAGCAGAUCCAAGUCAGUACCCAGGGUCUAAACUUAGCUAAUGAGGACCUCAGCAAGACUCUCAUCUACAUUCUUAACCUGUUUGACUCUAACAAGAGACCAGUUAUGUCCCUUAAUAAUUUUUUCUUUCUGAGAAACUUGUAACUGUGUGUUAGUGUGUGUGCAUGCUACACACACACACACACACACACACACACACACACACACACACACACACACACACACACCCCAAUUUGGUCAAAUUUGAGUUUUUAAAUCCUCAGAUGACAGCAACCAUGGUUGGGAUCCAAUUAAAAAGGUGAACAGUUCCAUGAGAUGCUGACUCUUCUGUAUACAGUGUGCCUACUGUUGAAAGGUGGCAUCUUGAUAUUCUGGGGACUCAUUAUGGGCUGUUAAAAUGUUCACAUACUACAACUGGAUCCAGGUUCAAUUCCCAAUGAUGGCCCAACAAAACUGUAGAUACAGAUGCAGCAAAAGCCAUUACUGCCGUGCAAGCUUCGUGUCGUAAAAGAUAGUUUUCCUCUGCCAUCUGGUACAGCUACUUCAAUCAAGACAAGAGGGAAUUCUCCAGUCGAAAAUAUUUAACCUGUACUCAGUUAAACCUUGGGUUAAUUAAAGAAGUAUCCAUCACUGAGGCAAUAUUAGUGAAGGCUUGCCAUCUAACAUCACUCUAAAGAGUCUCGGAGAGUGGAGUGAGGAUCAUGCAGAAGAGCAGUGAAAGCAUGGUCAGAACACAGGGAGUGAGAAUGUUGGUAUCAUUUCUCAAAGGCAAUGGGGUCCCCAGAAUUCCUGUUAAGAGAUGAUACUGUGAUAGUGGAUCUAUUCCUGAUUAGUUGUAUGCAGAACUUCAACAGAGAAUUAGAAAGCCUGAAUGCACUCCUGCUCUGCCAACAGUUAACAAUUACAAAUACUUAUCUGUUGUCAAAGCAGCAACAUAUCCUAGCAGCUCUUCCAAAAACACAUAGUAAAGAGACAGUCUACAAACACUGCAAGUGAGCAUUUUCAAGAAUCUGAGAUGACCAAAUCUUGAUGGUAUGUUCUUCAGCUGGUGGCAACAGAUCAAUGUUUAUAUAAACACUAUCCUGCUAAUGCUUUUUCUUGCUUAUAACUAAGAAUGCAUCUAGGCAUGUGGCCCAAUUGGUAAGUGCUUGCCAAGCACACACACAUGGUUCUGGGUUCAAUUACCAGUAACAUAAACUGAGCACAGGACUGAGGUGGUGUAGGCAAGGGUGAGAAGACUCAAGGCCAUCCUCAAAUACAUGAUGAAUUUGAGGAUGAGCCAAAUAAAUCCUGUUUCAAAGAGACAAAUGUAACUAUUCAGCAUUGGAUUGGUGUUGGAACUUCAUAAGAUGAGGCAACAAGAUUAAACUGACCUUUCCAGGUCCAUGCUUCCUUAACAGCAAGGCAAAACAGUAGGAUGAACAGUGUUGUCUAUUUUACCUGAAUACCCUCAUUCUCUAUACAGAAUAGAAUUCAGUUAUUCUCCAAAAUUGGCCAUCAGAAGCUAAGUCCCCACACAGCAAUGAAAUCAAUAUUAUGAUUUAUGGUUGCAUGUAGCUACUAUAUGAUGAAGAGAAAACAAAAAAAUAAAUAAAACAGUAUAAUCCCAUCACUGAGAUACAUCUAAAAGCUUGUCCUCAAAAUUUAUGUCAGGGGGCGGAGAGAUGACUUAGCAGAUAAGAGCCACUGACUGCUUUUCCGGAGGUCCUGAAUUCAAUUCCUACCACCAACCACAUGGUGGCUCCCAACCAUCUGUAAUGGGAUCUGAUGCCCUCUUCUGUGUGUCUGAAGACAGUGACAGUGUACUCAUGUAAGUAAAAUAAAUUACUCUUAAAACUAAAAAAAAAAAAAAAA